GAUGAACGCUGGCGGCGUGCCUAAUACAUGCAAGUCGAGCGAACGGACGAGAAGCUUGCUUCUCUGAUGUUAGCGGCGGACGGGUGAGUAACACGUGGACAACCUACCUAUAAGACUGGGAUAACUUCGGGAAACCGGAGCUAACACCGGAUAAUAUUUUGAACCGCAUGGUUCAAAAGUGAACGACGGUCUUGCUGUCACUUAUAGAUGGAUCCGCGCUGCAUUAGCUAGUUGGUAAGGUAACGGCUUACCAAGGCAACGAUGCAUAGCCGACCUGAGAGGGUGGUCGGCCACACUAGAACUGAGACACGGUCCAGACUCCUACGGUAGGCAGCAGUAGGGAAUCUUCCGCAAGGGGCGAGAGCCUGACGGAGCAACGCCGCGUGAGUGAUGAUGGUCUUCGGAUCGGAAAACUCUGUUAGUAGGGAAGAACAUAUGUGUAAGUAACUGUGCACAUCUUGACGGUACCUAAUCAGAAAGCCACGGCUAACUACGUG
rnacentral:rRNA from 1 species